rnacentral:hammerhead_ribozyme from 1 species
GCACUGCUGACGAGUCCCAAACAGGACGAAACAGAACUCCCGGUGC